CCGAAGGAACAAAACGGCCAGCAGCCAUCAUCAUCAGUAGCAGUAGCAGUAGCGCCACGGAAAAUUUGGCCCAAAAUAAUCAGCAGAACAACGGAGAAGCGCUCCAACUUCUCGCUGGUUGCUGACUGAUCGCGAGGUGCGCGGAAGACGGUCGAUUCCACAAAGAAAAGUAGCAACCUUUCGUCGAAUCUGCAGCGGAAUCCAGUCCAGAGUCUCGAGCAAAACAACAAACCCAAACAAGAUGGAUGCGAUGAGCCUCAGCUUGGAUGACAUUAUCAAAAAGAAAGCUAUCGGAAAGCGGCCGAAACCACCGACGGCUGGGAAGAAAGCAGUGGUGGCUAAAGUGGGUCGGAACGGUGCCGGAAAACGGUUGUUGGGCAAAAAACCGCUGGGAAGUCCGGCAGCAAAUGGACGUCGUAAGCCGGCUGUGGCAGCGUCGGCAGCAGCAGCAGUGGGGAAAUCCCGGCUGGGCGGAGGAGUUGGCAAGCCCGCCGUGAUCGUCGACGCCAGGAUGAAAAUUAUACAAAAGAAGCGGGCACAGAUCCGAGAUGCCCGGGAUAAGCUGGUGGAAAUCGCUCGGAACAGUGGCGACGCCCGGCUGAGAUUGCUCAAACGCAAGGGGAAGCUGCCGCCGCCCGGCAAUGGGAUUCUGAAGAAGCGAUCCAGCGGGGAUCAUCCGAGAGGCAAAGUUUACGUGGAUGAAAUGGACGUCGAUUAUGACAUGGAAGUGGACAUCCGUCGCCCGAUAGGCCCCCUUAAGCGAACGGUUCGCAACGAGAUGUUUUCCGUUCCCAGUACGAUGCCACCGUUACCGACAUUCAGUCGGAACAUCCGCAAUUCGUCGCCCCCUCCGACGUCGUCCUCCUCGUGGAAUACCGAUCCGUUCGAUUGCUACGAAGUGCACACCAGCCGGCCGAUCGUGUCCAAGGCACCUCCUCCGCCGGCUUCGAUUCCACGGUACGAUGACAUUCCGCCGCGGCGCGGCAUAACGCGGGUUCGAUCGCCGCCGCCGCCCCAUCCGAUGUACGCCGAAGACCGCCCACAUCUGUCGUCGACGAUGCGAGCGCGGCUCGAACGGGCGCCGAAUCCGAACGAAUCGAUGGGUAUUUUCGCCAAAAUGGCACCGGAAGAUCAUCACCGGAGCAGCGGUGGUAGCAGUAGCAGUAGGCAUCAUCACCAUCACCACUCGCAACCGCUGUCACCUUCUCCGUCGCCCCCGAUCACCGGCUACAGGAUUGUGGUCAGCAAUUUGCACGGCAGCGUGACGCAAAAUGACAUCAAGGAACUGUUCGAAGACAUAGGAGAUCUGCUUGAAUCGCGCCUGGUCCGACCAGGAGUAGCCGAAGUCAUCUAUCGUACCCUCAAGGACGCCGAAGAGGCCGUCGAUACCUAUCACAACCGCCAGCUGGACGGCCAACCGAUGAAGUGCUUGCUGGUGAAACCGCGAUCCUCCAACAAACCAACCGCUCCGGCCAUCAGCUACUCGAGCUCAUCAAGAUCCCUCAAGUCCACCUCACUCUCGUCGUCAUCCUCGUCCGGAGCGAAAAAGUCGCACGUCGAAAUAGACAUCGACGCACUGCACACGGUUCUGUUCAGAAGAGACCACUAGACAGUUGCUUCCCGACAGUUCUGCCCUUAUUCCUCCUUCAUACUACGCAGGCUCACUGAUGCACCGAUAGGCGACCACAAUCCAUUUACAUGCUAACCUACUCCCUAUUGGUAUUCGUCGCUGAAAAACUACUCCGACUCCGCUGUAAGUGUUUGAAUUUCGAAUUUGUUUUUUUUUUUCUGAUUUAAUAUACCCUAAACGAGAGAAAAAAGAAAUGCUUUGAGGGAUACUGUUUGACUAUUCCUAAAACCGCAUUCAUCGACUUUGCUUUAAACCUUCCACCCUCCCGAAAGAUGACAAAGAAUCCUCCCGUGUGAGAACUCAACGGCACGGAACGGCACAUGCAAAUAGGUACGCUCACAACAUGUGUGACAGUAAAUUUAACUUACUAAAUGAAAGAUCUACCUACUCUAUCUAAUAAUGGAUAAGACAAACAAAUGUAAGGCGUUUUUAAAGAGACAGCAGCAAAUAAAGCUAUUAUUUGUAAGAUCCAAACCGACAAAAAAUAUAAAUGAACAUACCUAAAUACAUUAUAAUAUAACAACAAAACCACAACAGCAGCAGUGAAUAAAAUAAUUUAGUUUGAAUGAAAUGGUGUAAUGUGAA